GACGAACGCUGGCGGCGUGCCUAAUACAUGCAAGUAGAACGCACAGUUUAUACCGUAGCUUGCUACACCAUAAACUGUGAGUUGCGAACGGGUGAGUAACGCGUAGGUAACCUGCCUGGUAGCGGGGGAUAACUAUUGGAAACGAUAGCUAAUACCGCAUAAUAUUGAUUAUUGCAUGAUAAUUGAUUGAAAGAUGCUAUUGCAUCACUACCAGAUGGACCUGCGUUGUAUUAGCUAGUAGGUGAGGUAACGGCUCACCUAGGCGACGAUACAUAGCCGACCUGAGAGGGUGAUCGGCCACACUGGGACUGAGGCACGGCCCAGACUCCUACGGGAGGCAGCAGUAGGGAAUCUUCGGCAAUGGACGAAAGUCUGACCGAGCAACGCCGCGUGAGGGAAGAAGGUUGUCGGAUCGUAAAGCUCUGUUGUAAGAGAAGAACGGGUGUGAGAGUGGAAAGUUCACACUGUGACGGUAUCUUACCAGAAAGGGACGGCUAACUACGUG
rnacentral:rRNA from 1 species